AACUCUGCACAUCACUAUUUUUUAAAAAAUGACACUUUCAUUGAGGGCAAUUGCAGCACAUAUCACAAUUUCCUGAAUGGCCCGAGUGAUUAUGAUGCGCUUUCCUUGGAGAUAUUCCACCCAAAACCCUCAUUCAUCCAAGUACGGCACAUUUACAACUCGUAAUCGAGUUCGCCUGAAGGAUGAAUGAGGAAUUUUAGUAUGAUGAAUGGAAGUGCGUGGCUCUUGGGAACUUCGGGUAUGCAGGCGAUACUCGCAGCACAAAUUCCUCUCGGAAAAAGCCAACCAUUAAAUGAUGCUGGAUUUAGCUAAAAGUGGUUGCAACAUCGCGCACGACAAAUCACAUGCAUUUGGCCAAAACUUCUGUAUCGAUUGUGCGAAUUUGAAGUCUUGCAGGAUCUGUGUCGCACAGAUAAACCUUGUGUUCCAAAUUUUAUAGAAGAUCAGUCCUUUGACGAAAUACGAUGGAUAUGUUAUGAAGCUAAAAAAAAACUGUUUCGAUCAGUUCGUUAAACAAUUCGCCAAAGAAGCCAUUGAAGCUAAUAAUAAAAUGAAAACAAUGGCGCAGAUAUCACCCCAUGUAGUAGAUAUUAUAUGCCGAUUGUAUGAUGCAACUUCAGAAGCCGCCACAAAUGUGGGUUUGACUAAAAGUAAUAAAACUAAUCCAUUUGGCCUUGAAAUUAGCGUUGCCAGUGACACAGCAUUGAUAUUUAAAAAACCUGGCGCUACAUCCAGCAGUGAUAAAAAUUUUGGUGAUGCUUUUAACGAUCAUGGUCAUACUACCAAUGCCGGAUGCGUAUUUGGCGGAAUGGCACCUUCGACUCCUGGAGGAAUCCUUGGUGGAGCUUCCAAAUGCUAGUUCCAUAUUCGGAGGAGGCGCCCCACUAAAUCUAUUUGGUCAAACGCUGACAAGUACUGAUGUUACUGUUGGACGUUUUGGGCGCGCGCAGCAAGGGACCGGAGGUUUGUGUUCUUCCCAAGCUCAA